CAACUCAACUCAAAGACAACCAAACGCAACUCAGGGUGAACCCAACCCAACCCAAGGUCAACCCAACCCAACCCAAUCAAACUCAAGGUCAUCCAAACUCAACCCAAGUCAAAGUCAACCAAACCCAACUCAAGGUCAAGCAAACCCAACUCAAGGUCAACCCAUCCCAAGUCAAAGUCAACCAAACCCAACCUAAGGUCAACCAAACUCAACUCAACCCAACCCAAAGUCAACCAAACCCAACCCAACCCAAAAAUUAACCAAAGGUCAACUCAACCCAACGGCAGCAAGGUCAACCACACUUGAGUCAACCCAAGGUGAACCCAAUUCAAGGUCAACCCAACCCAACCCAAGGUCAACCCUGCCCAACUCAACCCAACCCAACACAAGGUCAACCAAAUUUAAGGUCAACCCAACUCAACCGAACUCAAAAGUCAACCCAACCCAUGGUCAGCAAAGCCCAAACCAACCCCAUGACCGACGCACGUCGAGUCUGGACAACCGUUGGUCAAAGUCAAGACCAAUCCCAUGGCCAACCCAAGUGGACACCGAGCCAAUGGUCGAGCCAAGACCAACCAAUGGUCAGUCAGGUGAAGGUCAACCAAUCAAUGGUCGACCCAAAGCCAAGCCAACCCAAGGUCAAGCCAAGGUCAAAGGUCACACAACCGUCGAGUGGAGCCCAACCAACGAUCAACCAAGUCAAGACUGACCAUGCGAUGGUCAUGACCAGCCAAGAGUCACCCAACCGUCAACUGAAAACCAACCAACGGCCAAAGGAGUCAACAUUGAUCAACCCAAAGUCAGGAUCAGUCCAAGAUCAAGUUAAGACCAACCCAAACCAAGGUCAAGGUCACCCAAUGAUCAAGAGAGCACCGACCAAUGGUCGACAAAACCAAGAUCGACCAUCCCAAGGUCAAGACCAACCCAAGGUCAAGACCAACCCACGGUCAAGACCAACCCACGGUCAAGACCAACCCAAGGUCAAGACCAACCCACGGUCAAGACCACGCCCACCCAAACUCAGGUGAGGUCAAGGUCACCCAAAGCCCAACCCCAAACCAACCAAUGAUCAAGGUCAAGGUCAACCAAUCAACGGCCAACUCCAACUCAAAGCCAACCCAACCCAAGGUCAAAGGUCACCCAACGGUCAACUGAAGACCGACCAAUGAUCAACGAAGUCAAGAUGGACCAACCACAGGUCAAGACCAAUCCAAGAGUCACCCAAUGGUCAGGCGAAGAGCAAUCAAUGGUCAACAAGGUCAAGACCGACCAAGCCAUGGUGAAGACAACUCCAAGUUAAGACCAACCCAAACCAAGCUCAAGGUCACCCAACGAUCAACGAAGAGC